GCCGGUUGUGAAGGGACUAUUUUGUCACCCAGUUAUGACAAUGUUAUGCCAAAAGAUGACUUAAAGGGGCAUCUGGAGUAAAAAGACAGACUACUGAGAAACCAAGUAUGAAAUUGAGAGGGUUUCAGUAUUUCUAGCAUAUUAUAGUAUUCAUUUAUACUUGGGAUUGGUAUACAACUAUACAAACAACUGAUCAAGCACAAGCCACCAUUUGUUACUUUGUAACUCACUAAUUGCUUUA